UACAGAGGCCUCGAGCGUUCGGCGGAAUCACUGGGCUUACAGCGUGUGUAGGCGGACUUCUAAGUACCUUGUGAAAUCCCACGGCUUACCCGUGGAACUGCUCGGUAUACUGGUUGUCUUGAGCCAUCUAGGGGCUACCGGAACAAAUGGUGGAGCGGUGAAAUGCGUAGAUAUCAUGUGGAACGGCAAUGGUGAAAACAGGUAGCUGGGGAUGUGCUGACGCUGAGGCGCGAAAGCGUGGGGAGCAAACGGG
rnacentral:rRNA from 1 species